GGCCUACCAUGGUGGUAACGGGUAACGGGGUGUUAGGGCACGACACCGGAGAGGGAGCCUGAGAAACGGCUACCACAUCCAAGGAUGGCAGCAGGCGCGCAAAUUACCCAAUCCCGACACGGGGAGGUAGUGACAAUAAAUAACAAUACGGGGUUCUUUAGGAUUUCGUAAUUGGAAUGAGUACAAUUUAAAUCUCUUAACGAGGAACAAUUGGAGGGCAAGUCUGGUGCCAGCAGCCGCGGUAAUUCCAGCUCCAAUAGCGUAUAUUAAAGUUGUUGCAGUUAAAAAGCUCGUAGUUGAAUUUCGGGGUCAGUAGAUUGGUCAUGCCACUGGUAUGUACUAGUCUCACUGAUUCCUCCUUCCUGAUGAGCCGUAAUGCCAUUAAUUUGGUGUUGCGAGGAAUCUGGACUGUUACUUUGAAAAAUUUAGAGUGUUUAAAGCAGGCUAACGCUUGAAUACAUUAGCAUGGAAUAAUGAAAUAGGACGUUCGAUCUUAUUUUGUUGGUUUCUAAGAUUGACGUAAUGAUUAAUAGGGAUAGUUGGGGGCAUUAGUAUUCAAUUGUCAGAGGUGAAAUUCUUGGAUUUAUUGAAGACUAACUACUGCGAAAGCAUUUGCCAAGGAUGUUUUCAUUAAUCAAGAACGAAAGUUAGGGGAUCGAAGACGAUCAGAUACCGUCGUAGUCUUAACCAUAAACUAUGCCGACUAGGGAUCGGAUGAUGUUAAUUUUUUAAUGACUCAUUCGGCGCCUUACGGGAAACCAAAGUGUUUGGGUUC
rnacentral:rRNA from 1 species